rnacentral:rRNA from 1 species
CGAAGGCUCCAAGGGAAGUCACGGCUAACUCUGUGCCAGCAGCCGCGGUAAUACAGAGGUGGCAAGCGUUGUUCGGAAUUAUUGGGCGUAAAGAGCACGUAGGUGGGUUUGUAAGUCAGAUGUGAAAGCCUCCUGUUCAACGGGAGAAUUGCAUCUGAAACUACUGAUCUUGAGUAUAGGAGGGGAGAAUGGAACUUCUGGUGGAGCGGUGAAGUGCGUAGAUAUCAGAAGGAACGCCGGCGGCGAAAGCGAUUCUCUGGCCUAUUACUGACACUCAGUGUGCGAAAGCUAGGGGAGCAAACGGGAUUAGAUACCCCGGUAGUCCUAGCCGUAAA